rnacentral:rRNA from 1 species
GACGGAGGAUGCAAGCGUUAUCCGGAAUGAUUGGGCGUAAAGCGUCCGCAGGUGGCAGUUCAAGUCUGCUGUCAAAGACCGGGGCUUAACUUCGGAAAGGCAGUGGAAACUGAACAGCUAGAGUAUGGUAGGGGCAGAGGGAAUUCCUGGUGUAGCGGUGGAAUGCGCAGAUAUCAGGAGGAACACCUAAGGCGAAGGCAGCUCGCUGGAACGGUACUGACGCUGAGGCGCGAAAGCGUGGGGAGCAAACAGG